GGGUUGUGAGGUUAAGCGACUAAGCGUACACGGUGGAUGCCCUGGCAGUCAGAGGCGAUGAAGGGCGUGCUAAUCUGCGAUAAGCGCCGGUAAGGUGAUAUGAACCGUUAUAACCGGCGAUACCCGAAUGGGGAAACCCAGUGUGACUCGUCACACUAUCAUUAACUGAAUCCAUAGGUUAAUGAGGCGAACCGGGGGAACUGAAACAUCUAAGUACCCCGAGGAAAAGAAAUCAACCGAGAUUCCCCCAGUAGCGGCGAGCGAACGGGGAGGAGCCCAGAGCCUGAAUCAGCAUGUGUGUUAGUGGAAGCGUCUGGAAAGGCGCGCGAUACAGGGUGACAGCCCCGUACACAAAAGCGCAUGUGCUGUGAGCUCGAUGAGUAGGGCGGGACACGUGGUAUCCUGUCUGAAUAUGGGGGGACCAUCCUCCAAGGCUAAAUACUCCUGACUGACCGAUAGUGAACCAGUACCGUGAGGGAAAGGCGAAAAGAACCCCGGCGAGGGGAGUGAAAAAGAACCUGAAACCGUGUACGUACAAGCAGUGGGAGCCCCACCACUAAGCCAGUGGUGAACUCCACAUACGCAUCCUUUGCUGAGGAUACGGUUAACGGAGCGAAAGCGACGUUCAACCUCAAAAGAAGCAGAGGGGGCUUAGUGGUGGGGUGACUGCGUACCUUUUGUAUAAUGGGUCAGCGACUUAUAUUCUGUAGCAAGGUUAACCGUAUAGGGGAGCCGUAGGGAAACCGAGUCUUAACCGGGCGUUAAGUUGCAGGGUAUAGACCCGAAACCCGGUGAUCUAGCCAUGGGCAGGUUGAAGGUUGGGUAACACUAACUGGAGGACCGAACCGACUAAUGUUGAAAAAUUAGCGGAUGACCUGUGGCUGGGGGUGAAAGGCCAAUCAAACCGGGAGAUAGCUGGUUCUCCCCGAAAGCUAUUUAGGUAGCGCCUCGUGAAUUCAUCUCCGGGGGUAGAGCACUGUUUCGGCUAGGGGGCCAUCCCGGCUUACCAACCCGAUGCAAACUGCGAAUACCGGAGAAUGUUAUCACGGGAGACACACGGCGGGUGCUAACGUCCGUCGUGAAGAGGGAAACAACCCAGACCGCCAGCUAAGGUCCCAAAGUCAUGGUUAAGUGGGAAACGAUGUGGGAAGGCCCAGACAGCCAGGAUGUUGGCUUAGAAGCAGCCAUCAUUUAAAGAAAGCGUAAUAGCUCACUGGUCGAGUCGGCCUGCGCGGAAGAUGUAACGGGGCUAAACCAUGCACCGAAGCUGCGGCAGCGACGCUGAUGCGUUGUUGGGUAGGGGAGCGUUCUGUAAGCCUGUGAAGGUGGCCUGUGAGGGUUGCUGGAGGUAUCAGAAGUGCGAAUGCUGACAUAAGUAACGAUAAAGCGGGUGAAAAGCCCGCUCGCCGGAAGACCAAGGGUUCCUGUCCAACGUUAAUCGGGGCAGG
rnacentral:rRNA from 1 species